GAAACAGUUUUGAAUGUGUGUCCCACCCCUCUGAUUAAAGCACAAUAUCAGACUGUCUGUUAGUCAGGACUGUCAAACCAACAUCACUGUUCCUUCAGUUCUCACUCAUUCACAGUAAAGAUGACAGCACACGCUCUCAUUAUCUGCUCUCUACUGCUUUUCAUUGCUGAGUGUAAUGGACAGAUCACAGUCACUCAGAGUCCCUCAACAACAGCAGCUCAACCAGGACAACAAGUUAAAAUAAACUGUAAAACCAGCAGUGAUGUGUACCGGUCCAGUAGUGUGGGAUACCUCUUGAGCUGGUACUUACAGAAACCUGGAGAAGCUCCUAAACUCCUCAUAUAUUAUACAAACCGCCUGCAGUCUGGAACUUCAUCUAGAUUCAGUGGCAGUGGAUCUAAUAGUGAUUUCACUUUGACCAUCAGUGGAGUCCAGACUGAAGAUGCAGGACAUUAUUACUGUCAGAGUUAUCACAGUGGUCCAGUGUUCACACAGUGAUAAGGAGU